AUUGAACGCUGGCGGCAUGCCUUACACAUGCAAGUCGAACGGCAGCACGGGUGCUUGCACCUGGUGGCGAGUGGCGAACGGGUGAGUAAUAUAUCGGAACGUACCUUGUAGUGGGGGAUAGCUCGGCGAAAGCCGGAUUAAUACCGCAUACGCUCUGAGGAGGAAAGCGGGGGACCUUCGGGCCUCGCGCUACAAGAGCGGCCGAUAUCAGAUUAGCUAGUUGGUGAGGUAAGAGCUCACCAAGGCGACGAUCUGUAGCUGGUCUGAGAGGACGACCAGCCACACUGGGACUGAGACACGGCCCAGACUCCUACGGGAGGCAGCAGUGGGGAAUUUUGGACAAUGGGCGCAAGCCUGAUCCAGCAAUGCCGCGUGUGUGAAGAAGGCCUUCGGGUUGUAAAGCACUUUUGUUCGGGAAGAAAUCCUUUGGGAUAAUACCUCGGGGGGAUGACGGUACCGGAAGAAUAAGCACCGGCUAACUACGUGCCAGCCGCCGCGGUAAAAC
rnacentral:rRNA from 1 species